rnacentral:tRNA from 1 species
GGGCCCAUGGCGCAGUUGGUAGCGCGCCUCUAUGGCAUAGAGGAGGUCGCGAGUUCGAGUCUCGCUGGGUCCA